GGGACGUGUUGGAAAAGAGGAAAACGAGCACUAGACUGGAGACCUCCUGCGCCCCGAUAAGAAGAACUGGACCAGCUCGGGGAAGUUUAACUGCCGGGAGGUAAUGUGGAGACCCAGCCUCGAACAAAGUUAAAGCCUGAAAAGGCGAAGAACUCGGACCGCGGUGGUCUUUGGGCUUUGGAUCCCUGGCCGGGGUUGUCUUCAGCCGGUAGUUUGCCUAGAGGAAGAACAAAUAAAUUUUGUGUAACCCA